CGUGUUUCAAACAGAGCUUCUACGUUUGCCGGUCGUUAUGCGUUGGUUUGUAUUUGCUGCUUUUGCAGAGAUGAGAACUCAAAUACCAUUAAUAUGACUGCCAUACCUUCAGCACAAGAGAAGAAAAAGGUGACAGUCCGAACAAGAGAGAGAGAGAGAAUGUAAGGGAAAGAGUUGGAAAGAGAAGAAGGAAAAGCAUGGACAGUGUGCAUAACCCUAUUCCCCACUUCCCAACCAGUUAAUCAUCCCCUGAGGAGUUCUACUGGCAGACCUGAGAGGGGGAGUUGGUUUGGGUUCCACAGCGCUUAGCAAUGCCGUUUGAUACAUGUGGUGGUAUGAAGAUAGACUGUAAGCUCCUUCAGACCAAGUAAGUUAAGAACAAAACAAAGAGAGACGAUAGCAGCAGAGAGACACAAUAGAAAAGUGG